rnacentral:misc_RNA from 1 species
UUUUGUUAUGGAAAACACAAAGACGACCACGCUGGUUACUAUUCCACUUAAGUCAAUCAUUAGAAAAAGUGUGCCAAUAAUUGUGUUUACUUGCAAACAAAAAAUAAUCGACUUGAAUUAUAUAUCGACAAGCAAUAUAUUGUAAUUUUGCUUGUCGUCCAACUUAGUUCGACUAAAAAAUAGUCAAAUAAUACGCAUUAAUAGAGAUAACUCAAAAAUUAAGGUACUCGUAAUAUCUCGGUGAAGUUUAAAUGGAAUCACAUAACAAGCAUCAGACUUCGAAUAAAAAAGAAUCAUUAAAAAUUGGUACACCCAGUAAAA